rnacentral:rRNA from 1 species
UACGUAGGGGGCAAGCGUUGUCCGGAUUUAUUGGGCGUAAAGAGCGUGUAGGCGGCCAGAUAGGUCCGUUGUGAAAACUGGAGGCUUAACCUCCAGCGGUCGAUGGAAACCAUUUGGCUAGAGUCCGGAAGAGGAGAGUGGAAUUCCGUGGUGUAGCGGUGAAAUGCGCAGAUAUCAGGAAGAACACCCGCUGGCGAAGGCGGCUCUCUGGGGACGGUACUGACGCUGAGACGCGAAAGCGUGGGGAGCGAACAGG